rnacentral:lncRNA from 1 species
AUUUUGAAUGUUCAUGAAGGGAAAAAGGGAUGUGGGGUCAUAUUGACAAGACCUCUUAUGCUCCGGAGAACCUAGCUUUGUUGGCUACUUAGAAGACGAAAGAUGCUCAGAUUGUUUAUUGGAUUCUCAGAUCUGUUGAGCCUCAAAUGGUCAACAAUUUGCGCUUUUCUACAACCAAGGAGAUGUGAGAUUAUAUGAAGUGUAU